rnacentral:rRNA from 1 species
UAGGGAAUCUUCCGCAAUGGGCGAAAGCCUGACGGAGCAACGCCGCGUGAGUGAUGAAGGUCUUCGGAUCGUAAAACUCUGUUAUUAGGGAAGAAUAAAUGUGUAAGUAACUAUGCACGUCUUGACGGUACCUAAUCAGAAAGCCACGGCUAACUACGUGCCAGCAGCCGCGGUAAUACGUAGGUGGCAAGCGUUAUCCGGAAUUAUUGGGCGUAAAGCGCGCGUAGGCGGUUUUUUAAGUCUGAUGUGAAAGCCCACGGCUCAACCGUGGAGGGUCAUUGGAAACUGGAAAACUUGAGUGCAGAAGAGGAAAGUGGAAUUCCAUGUGUAGCGGUGAAAUGCGCAGAGAUAUGGAGGAACACCAGUGGCGAAGGCGACUUUCUGGUCUGUAACUGACGCUGAUGUGCGAAAGCGUGGGGAGCGAACAGG